ACCUCUCCCUCCCGUAUACUUGCAGAGGUUCGCGACCACAGUCGCACGUGAAAGGGCCAUGUGACUUCCUGGCCACAAUCUUGCUUCUGACAUUCUGAGGCUAUCCUGCAGCUGGCAGCAACCCGGUGAUGUGUUUGCCUCCUUAACAUCGUGUCGGAUCAAAUACAUUGCCCUCGGAUCUACCAAAGUGCAACUCGUCCCUGCGACAGAAGCUUCUCGCGGCGGGAGUGUGGCAGGUGGCGUGUCCCUGGUGGCGGUGAGCAGCGUGGUGGCUUCAGCGAGUGGCACUCUUCACUACCACUCUUCACUGCGCGGCACCCGAUUCCUGUUGAUAAGGUAGAGGGCGAGGUCACGUGACUGCGAUGGGGGGGAGCUGACUAGGCACGUGUCUCGCCUUAUCGCCGCUGCAGGGAAACAAGGCGCUGUGUCCCAAACCGCGUAGCCGUCGUGUUUGGAUGUGUGUCAAGGCAGUGCUCAGAAGAGGACGUUAGGUGAAUGGUGGGCGGCUGUUCGCGGGGCCCAGAGGCUGUUUAGGUGAAGGCAUCAGCGAGGAGGAGCUGACCGCCGCAGUGACGACCAUCCCUCGCGCCUCAGACUGCUGCCCCGAUCACCGCCAUUCACACUGCGCCGGGGUUAGCUGGGCACCACACCCGCCGCUCCACACUCAUGUACUGGUGCUGCAGUGCUGGUGGCGGCGAUUGUAAUGGCAACAACAAGGAGAGUAACAAGA